rnacentral:misc_RNA from 1 species
GCUGGAUUACCAGAGGAUCUAUGACAACAUGGAAAAGCCAGCUUUUGUUUUUGAUGGGCGCAAUGUGGUCGACUUGGACAAGCUCAGGGCGAUCGGCUUUAUCGUCUACUCAAUUGGGAAGCCGCUGGAUGCGUGGCUUAAGGAUAUGCCUGCUGUGGCAUAAACAGAGAGUAAAGCGGUUUCAAUUGAUACCAUGUUUCGUGCUUUCGAUAGUUAUAUUAUUUUGGACAGUUCAGU